rnacentral:rRNA from 1 species
ACGGAAGGCAGCAGUGAGGAAUAUUGCACAAUGGGGGAAACCCUGAUGCAGCGACGCCGCGUGAGUGAAGAAGUAUUUCGGUAUGUAAAGCUCUAUCAGCAGGGAAGAAAAUGACGGUACCUGCAUAAGAAGCCCCGGCUAGCUACGUGCCAGCAGCCGCGGUAAUACGUAGGGGGCAAGCGUUAUCCGGAUUUACUGGGUGUAAAGGGAGCGUAGACGGCAUGGCAAGUCUGAAGUGAAAGCUCGGGGCUCAACCCCGGAACUGCUUUGGAAACUGUCAGGCUAGAGUAUCGGAGAGGUAAGCGGAAUUCCUAGUGUAGCGGUGAAAUGCGUAGAUAUUAGGAGGAACACCAGUGGCGAAGGCGGCUUACUGGACGAUAACUGACGUUGAGGCUCGAAAGCGUGGGGAGCAAACAGGAUUAGAUACCCUGGUA